rnacentral:lncRNA from 1 species
GGAGAUAACAAUCUUGACUCGAAGAAGUUAAAGUCAUUGAUGAGAUAGAGGUUUGGUGAGAGCAUCCACAAGUUGCUAUAAAAAAUAGACAUGUGAGACUCAAAGUUUAUCACUUUGAACCUUGUCAUGAACAAAAAUGAAAAUCAAUGGAAAUGUGCUUCAUAUAAGAGGGAAAUACUAGAUUGACAUAAUGAUAAGUAGCUCAAAUGUAACCACAAUAAAUGAUCGAUAGAGAUUGUAAGGAAACCCUAAGUUCAUGAAGAAGAGACUUGAUUCACAAUAACUUGGAAGCAGUGGAAGCCAUGGAUCAAUACUCAUUGUGGAUGACCAAGUUACAAAUCUCUACUUCUUGAAACUCCAUGACAUGGGAUUGGGAAAAAGAAAUACUACAAGCAUACUACAAAAGUAUAAUCCUUAGAAUUGCUUGCCCAAUUUGCAUUAAAGAAGGUAUGAAAAGACAAAGAAGAACUUUAUUGGAGUAGAAACCCAUGAUCAACGAUACAACGUAAAUAAUGAAGUAGUCGCUUGACUAUAGUCUAAUGUCCCAUUGUCAGUUUAUGCAUAAAUUGGGAUAAUUUGUUAACAGAAAAGACAAUAUCUAGACCAAUGUGAGAAAGUUAUUCUAAGCCCCUAACUUGCAUAUACUUGAUAGCAUUCAUGAAAGUGAGCCAUCAUUAAGUGAGAACUUGAUUCAUUAAGAGAGGUCUAUGGACUUCCUUGGCUUGAACAACUUUGUCUUGUCUAGAAGAUCAUGAAUAUACUUUUUCUAGGAAAGAAGUAAUCCAUGAUGAUGAGGUAAAACUUCAAUGCUAAGGAAAUAUGAAAUAGCCUUGAGAUCUAUGAUGGAAAAUUGACUAGGAAGUUGUUGGGCUAACUUGCUAAGAGCUUGAGAAUCAUUACCUGUCAAAACAAAAUCAUUUAGAUAGGCAUGAAAGUAAAUGGUGAAACCAUAACUCUUGUAGAUGAAAAGAAAUAUAUUGAACCAAGAGUUGACAAAACCUUUGGAAAGAAGAAACUCCCUCAACUCCUUAUACUAGGCUCAUGGAGUUUGUUUAAGUACAUAAAGAGCCUUUUUCAACUUACACACAUGAUUGGUAUAAUUGUGAUCAAUGAAGGGUUGGGUCAUGAACAUAUCCUCCUUCAAGUGGCCAUGAAGGAAGACAUUUGACAUCAAGUUCACAAAGAGGCUAGCCACAUGAUAGAGCUAUAACCAAUGUAAGUAUGAUUAUGGUUCAUUUUAUAAUAGGGUUGAAAGUAUAAUGAUAAUCAAUGCCAAGAUGUUGGUGAAAGCCCUUGGCCACAAGCCUCACUUUAUACUAGUUGAUGGCCACAUCAAGAGUCCAUUUGAUAUGAAAUAAUGACACACCUAUUUGCAACUUACCAAAUUUUAUGAAGGAUGGGAAGGUACUAAGUCCCAUGUACCAUUGUUCAUGAAAGCAUUGAACUCAUUUGACAUAGCUUGAUGCCAAAUAGGAAUCUUAAGGGGCCCUGGGUAAUGAUGGUAAGUUCAGUAGUUUUGGUUGUAAGGUAAAUGAGGUAAAAGAAAAUUUAUGUUUUGGUUUGUGGGUAUUGUUUUUGUCUUUGCUAAUCAUGGAAUUUUGGUUUUGCCCAUAAGGAGUAUUCCAAGUUCACAAUUUCAUGAUUUUCUUCUUUCAAAAUUGGAGGUGAGCAAGGUUGAGAUUUGUCUAAGAAUCUCAUGAAAUUGUAACCUACAAGAAAUGUAUGAAAUUGAAUUCUUCAAGAGGUGUAAUUAUUUAUGGCGAGUUUGAGAGGGGUUUAGGCGACUACAUUGAUGGAGAUUAUGGUUUGAUUGUUUUCAAAAGGAUUUAUGAUAGCAAGAUGAGAGAAUGAGGUGGCGAAAGAUUUGGGGUUUUUUUGGAGUGUUAGGAUUGACAUUGGAGCACCUUGGGCUUUGAUACCAUAUGAGGGUUGUAGCCAAAGUACUAUUGAGGGAUAUAAUGAACAUGUAAGGUUUGGAGAAUGAAUGAAUUAAUUCUCAUUGAUGAACUUAUACACAUAUUUAUUCAAUGUACAAAUUAUAAAAGAAUAAAUUUCCUAAAAUCAAGCACCUAAAAUCAUGAAACUAAUUAACAAGAGAUAUUUACAAAAUUUUCUAAGAAUAUGGAAAGUGAAUAUUAAACAACUAGUAUUUUUACCGUGAUUCCUACCUUAUAUGCGUCUGUGUAUUGUUGCAUUUAUCAUGGGUGUUCACCAUGCUCUAAGAUAGCGUUGUUAAUUACAAGAAAUAAAAAUUUUAGUGUGUUGAAGGUUGAACUAUAGGGAAAGGGAAGAGCCGAGGAUGCAUAUGGGAGGCUAGGAGGUGAAUUCAAGUGAUUUGAGUGAAAUUUUGGAAUUAUGGUAUAUAUAUUUUCUCAAAAUAGAGAAGAAUUUUAAUGGUUAAAAAUUUAGAUAAAAGGUUAUGGAAAAACACUAGGGAUAAGAGAUACCUCCCAGAGACCUUUGCAUUAACUCAACAUAUACAACUAAAUUUUUAAAAUGAGAGUAACCUAGGAAAUAUGUGGUCUUGAAUGUCAUGGACAUUGCACUUGAGCCCUAACUCCAAGACAAACUUUGCAAAAUCACGAGAUGUUUGCUACAAGUCAAGUCAUUAAAAUCUCACUCUAGGUGCUUUCUUAAGCAUUUUAUGACCUAAAAUAGAAGUUGUAAAAAGAGGAUUAGAAAAUAAAUGGAAUAUCUCUCUUGAUUUAUUGGAAUGAACAACUAGUGCCUUUAUAGAGAAAAAUUUAACAACAAUAUAGAAUCUAGGCUAAACUAAAUCCCUAGAAUAUAGGAAAUAACUAGGUAGAAUCUAGACUAAAUUAAAUCUCUAGAAAAUAGAAACCAAAAAUUCAAAGAGAUAAAGCUUCCUAAUCACCUACUAUUUUGAAUUUUAAAAAUAGAAUAUUAAUAAAACUAAAACAUAAAACACUUAAUCCUAAAUAAUAUUCUCUACACUCCCCUUCAAAUUGGGGAAAAAUGUCCAGUAAUCCUAGCUUGUGUGUUAGAUCCUCAAAGUUUGUCUUGGCAAACCUUUUGUUAAGAUGUCUACAAUUUGUUUCUUUGUAGGAAUGUAGGUAAUGCAUAUUAACCCUUCUUCCAUCUUCUCUUUGGUGAAAUGAUGAUAAACUUCAAUGUGCUUUGUUAUGUCAUGAUGAACUAAGUUGUGAGUUCUACUUAUGGUAGCUUUUUUUUUUUUUUUUUGUCAUAGUAGCAAUAACUCUAACCAAAUCAUGACACAAAUCCCCUGAACAAUAGACCUAAACUCAACCUUAGUGUAGCAACUACAAUACUUUUUUUUUUUUACUUCAUGCACACGUCAACAAAUUUUCCUAAAUAAAUGUGCUAUAACUCGAGCUAGACCUCCUCCUAUCUUCUACUAAGAUGGCCUAAUUAGCAUCAAUGAAAGCUUCAAUCUUCUUCUUUAUUCAAUCAAACUUAUCUUGAUGUAAAUACUAAAAAGAUUAUUAGCCUUUCUAUAUCUUGAAACUUGGAAAAACUGUUUAUGAAUUGCAUUUGGGAUUAUGAGGGUUUUGCAUUCCCUCAAGGUGUCCAAAAGUGCAAUAAGGAGCAUGUGUCGUGCUACAUCACGGAUGUGAGAUCCGAUAUAGGUUUUGGGGUAUAAGUCUUAGGGAUAGCUUCAACCAGGUAAUUAUGUGUACUUUUCUUUGAGAUGAGCUCUACUAUCUCUUAACUCUAUGAUUAUCACAUUUCACAAAGUCUCUAGAAGACUUUGUAGGUGGUUUUCCAUGUAUAGUGUGUCUUUAUAUGUAAUUGAAUUUCUCUUUUAAUUGAUAAAUUUCUUUAAGAGGAAUAACAAAAUAAAAAUUGGGUUGUAAUUAUAUUUGUGUAUUGACAAUUUCGGGUCAAAAUUCCAAUUGUGCUUUUCUUAGUUCAUACCUUAAAUCCUCCCUUAGACUCUUGCCAUUUUCAAAGUGUUCAUGGUUGAAGACGACUUGAGGAGAUGGUAAGUACUUUUGAGGUGCUGGAUGAUGAUAAACAUUGAUCAAUCAUGUUUUAAAAUCUUAUCAUUUUAUUGAAAAAGAUAGUGGUUACUUAAGGAGUGUAAAACAUAGCGUUUAAAUAAUUUGGACCGAUUUCUAAUUGAUUGAUGGAACUUAAGGGUAAUAGUUUCUGUUGUACCUAGUUCUUUUUUAAUUCUUGUCUGAUCGAUGAAACUUCAAUCACAUCUACAUUCCUUCAACUUUUUCCAAAUGACUCUCAACAGUUGAUGAGUUCUAAAACCCUAAUAUUUAAGCCACCUUUCUAGGAAAGGAGAAACAACUAUGAGAGUGAGAGUUGAGCUUCAAGUUUUUCUAACUAAAUUGGAGAGUGUUUGCCUUGAGAGAAAAUCACUUGGGUUUGAGUUGAAAAUCAAUUUUUGAAUGAGAAAUUUUCAUUCCAAAUGGGUUGAUUCAUUGUGUUAUUCAUCCUUACUCUCAUGCUCAUCAUUUUGGGAUAAAACCAAAAUUUCUUCUUACAUAGAUUCAAGAAGAGGCUGAGAUUAAGUUUGGUAUGGAUUCCAAGUAUGCUCCAAAAUAAGAAAAUUAAUAACUAAAGUUUGAAGGUUCUAGACAAGAGGUUUGGGAGGAAUGAAAGCUUAGACUAGGUAAAUCCUUGUACUUAAUUGAUUUUCUUCAUAGUGGAUGAUUUGAUCACAUAAGGCUAGUGGUUUUUUUUUAUCUUUUAAGAGAAUUUCCAUGUUAAAAUAUUAUUUCCAUGUUAAAAUAUUGGUGCCAUUGUCUCUCUAUUCUAUAUGAUACUUUGAUUCAUUUUUCAUUAGCUUAUGAUAUUUCCAUUAUGAUGUUUUGGAUGAUUAAUUGCAAUAUAAGCUGAAAUUAGAUCUUUGAAAUUUUAAAAGAAUAUGGUGUAUUUUAGUUUUUGGUGUUGAUGUCAAGAACAUGCGAAAAUGUAUUUUUGUGUUUAUGCAAUAUCUUACAUAACAUGAAUGGGGAAUGUUGAUUCAUAUGUAUGUGACUUGCAUUGACUAACUUAUUGGGAGAGUAUUGAUGUAUCCAUUGUUGCUUGUGAUUUGCUUUAUGGUUGAUAGGAUUGAAAAAGAAACUUAAAACAUUUGAGAAAAAUAGGGGAAUUGUAAGCAUUUGUAAGAUACCAUCUCAAAUUGUUUUAAAACCACCUAUUCAGCCCCCCUUUACGUGUUAUCCCUAGGUGAAAUUCAUUUUCAUGGGACUUAAACGCUCUUGUAGAGAAAUUGUAGGUGGCGUGGUAGGGCUAAGAGUAGAAUGAAGAACCUUUAAUGAAGUUGAUGAGUUAACCUUGGAUUUGCAUGAUCCUUCCUCUUGAUGUCAUGUCAUGGCCAAGGUGGUCCAUGCUUCUUAAGAUGUUUUGUUAAUAGUAAUGAACAAAAUAAUGGUAGGAGAAGGAUAACCAACAACAACAUUGAGAAUGAAUUGGUCUUGGUAAACCCAUAAGGAGUAUUCCAAGUUCACAAUUUCAUGAUUUUCUUCUUUCAAAAUUGGAGGUGAGCAAGGUUGAGAUUUGUCUAAGAAUCUCAUGAAAUCGUAACCUAUAAGAAAUGUAUGAAAUUGAAAUCUUCAAGAGGUGUAAUUAUUUAUGGCGAGUUUGAGAGGGGUUUAGGCGACUACAUUGAUGGAGAUUAUGGUUUGAUUGUUUUCAAAAGGAUUUAUGAUAGCAAGAUGCAAGAAUGAGGUGGCGAAAUAUUUGGGGUUUUUUUGGAGUGUUAGGAUUGACAUUGGAGCACCUUGGGCUUUGAUACCAUAUGAAGGUUGUAGCCAAAGUACUAUUGAGGGAUAUAAUGAACAUGUAAGGUUUGGAGAAUGAAUGAAUGAAUUAAUUCUCAUUGAUGAACUUAUACCCAUUUAUUCAAUGUACAAAUUAUAAAAGAAUAAAUUUCCUAAAAUCAAGCACCUAAAAUCAGGAAACUAAUUAACGAGAGAUAUUUACAAUUUUUUCUAAGAAUAUGGAAAGUGAAUAUUAAACAACUAGUAUUUUUAUCAUGAUUCCUACCUUAUAUGCGUCUGUGUAUUGUUGCAUUUAUCAUGGGUGUUCACCAUGCUCUAAGAUAGGGUUGUUAAUUACAAGAAAUAAAAAUUUUAGUGUCUUGAAGGUUGAACUAUAGGGAAAGGGAAGAACUGAGGAUGCCUAUGGGAGGCCAGGAGGUGAAUUCAAGUGAUUUGAGUGAAAUUUUGGAAUUAUGGUAUAUAUUUUUUCUCAAAAUAGAGAAGAAUUUUAAUGGUUAAAAAUUUAGAUAAAAGGUUAUGGAAAAAUACUAGGGAUAGGAGAUCCCUCCUAGAGACCUUUGCAUCAACUCAACAUAUACAACCAAGGCUUUAAAAUGAGAGUAACCUAGGGAAAGAUGUGGUCUUGAAUGUGAUGGACAUUGCACUCGAGCCCUAACUUCGAGACAAACUUUGCAAAAUCAUGAGAUGAUAGCUACAAGUCAAGUCAUUAAAAUCUUACUCUAUGUGACUUCUUAAGCAUUUUAUAACCUAAAAUAGAAGUUGUAAAUAGAGGUUUAGAAAAUAAAUGGAAUAUCUCUCUUGAUUUAUUGGAAUGAACAACUAGUACCUUUAUAGAGAAAAUUUUAACAACAAUAUAGAAUCUAGGCUAAACUAAAUCCCUAGAAUAUAGGAAAUAACUAGAUAGAAUCUAGGCUAAAUUAAAUCUCUAGAAAAUAGAAACUGAAAAUUCAAAGAGAUAAAACUUCCUAAUCACCUACUAUUUUGAAUUUUAAAAAUAGAAUAUUAAUAAAACUAAAACAUAAAACACUUAAUCCUAAAUAGUAUUCUCUACACUCCCCCUCAAAUUGGAGAAAAAUGUCCAGUAAUUCUAGCUUGUAUGUUAGAUCCUCAAAGUUUGUCUUGGCAAACCUUUUGUUAAGAUGUCUAUAGUUUGUUUCUUUGUAGGAAUGUAGGUAAUGCAUAUUAACCCUUCUUCCAUCUUCUCUAUGGUGAAAUGAUGAUCAAUUUCAAUGUGCUUUGUUAUGUCAUGAUGAACUAAGUUGUGAGUUCUACUUAUGGUAGCCUUUUUUUUGUUACAAUAGCAAUAGCUCUAACCAAAUCAUGACACAAAUCCCCUGAACAAUAGACCUAAACUCAAUCUUAGUGUAGUAACUACACUAUUUUUUUUUUUACUUCAUGCACACGUCAACAAAUUUUCCUAAAUAAAUGGGCUAUAACUCGAGCUAGACCUCCUCCUAUCUUCUACUAAGAUGGCCUAAUUAGCAUCAAUGAAAGCUUCAAUCUUCUUCUUUAUUCAAUCAAACUUAUCUUGAUGUAAAUACUAAAAAGAUUAUUAGCCUUUCUAUAUCUUGAAACUUGGAAAAAUUGUUUAUGAAUUGCAUUUGGGAUUAUGAGGGUUUUGCAUUCCCUCAAGGUGUCCAAAAGUGCAAUAAGGAGCAUGUGUCGUGCUACAUCACGGAUGUGAGAUCCGAUAUAGGUUUUGGGGUAUAAGUCUUAGGGAUAGCUUCAACCAGGUAAUUAUGUGUACUUUUCUUUGAGAUGAGCUCUACUAUCUCUUGACUCUAUGAUUAUCACAUUCACAAAGUCUCUAGAAGACUUUGUAGGUGGUUUUCCAUGUAUAGUGUGUCUUUAUAUGCAAUUGAAUUUCUCUUUUAAUUGAUAAAUUUCUUUAAGAGGAAUAACAAAAUAAAAAUUGGGUUGUAAGUAUAUUUGUGUAUUGACAAUUUUUGGUCAAAAUUCCAAUUGUGCUUCUCUUAGUUCAUACCUUAAAAUCCUCCCUUAGACUCUUGCCUUUUUCAAAGUGUUCAUGGUUGAAGAUGACUUGAGGAGAUGGUAAGUACUUUUGAGGUGUUGGAUGAUGAUAAACAUUGAUCAACCAUGUUUUAAACUCUUAUUAUUUUAUUGAAAAAGAGAGUGGUUACUUAAGGAGUGUAAAACAUAGAGUUUAAAUAAAUUGGACCGAUUUCUAAUUGAUUGAUGGAACUUAAGGGUAAUAGUUUCUAUUGUACCUAGUUCUUUUUAAUUAUUGUCUGAUCGAUCAAACUUCAAUCACAUCUGUAUUCCUUCAACUUUUUCCAAAUGACUCUCAAUAGUUGGAUGAGUUCUAAAACCUUAAUAUUUAAGCCACCUUUCUAGGAGAGGAGAGACAACUAUGAGAGUGAGAGUUGAGCUUCAAGUUUUUCUAACUAAAUUGGGAGAGUGUUUGCCUUGAGAGAAAAUCACUUGGGUUUGAGUUGAAAAUCAAUUUUCGAGUGAGCAAUUUUCUUUCCAAAUGGGUUGAUUCAUUGUGUUAUUCAUCCUUACUCUCAUACUCAUAAUUUUGGGAUAAAACCAAAAUUUCUUCUUGUAUAGAUUCAAGAAGAGGCUAAGAUUAAGUUUGGUAUGGAUUCCAAGUAUGCUCCAAAAUAAGAAAAUUAAUAGCUAAAGUUUGAAGGUUCUAGACAAGUGGUUUGGGAGGAAUGAAAGCUUAGACUAGGUAAAUCCUUGUACUUAAUUGAUUUUCUUUAUUGUGGAUGAUUUGAUCAGUUAAGGCCAGUGGUUUUUUUAUCUCUUGAGAGAUUUUUCAUGUUAAAAUAUUGGUGCCAUUAUCUCUCUAUUCUAUAUCAUACUUUGAUUCAUUUUUCAUUAGCUUAUGAUAUUUCCAUUAUGAUAUUUUGGAUGAUUAAUUGCAAUAUAAGCUGAAAUUAGAUCAUUGAAAUUUUGAAAGAAUAUGGUAUAUUUUAGUUUUUGGUGUUGAUGUCAAGGACAUGUGAAAUUGUAUUUUUGUGUUGAUGCAAUAUCUUACAUAACAUGAUUGGGGAAUGUUGAUUCAUAUGUAUGUGACUUGCAUUGACUAACUUAUUGGGAGAGUAUUGAUGUAUCUAUUGUUGCUUGUGAUUUGCUUGAUGGUUGAUAGGAUUAAAAAAGAAACUUAAAACAUUUGAGAAAAAUAGGGGAAUUGUAAGCAUUUGUAAGAUACGAUCUCAAAUUAUUUUAAAAACACAUAUUCAGCCCCCCUUUAGGUGUUAUUCAUAGGCGAAAUUCAUUUUCAUGGGACCAAACACUCCAAGGUUUGUUCUAUUGGAUCCCUUGGUCGUUCCAUUGAAGCAUGCCAAAACCGUCAUGACCAAAUCAAUCAAAUUGAUUUAAAAAAGAUGACCUUUUGUUACAAUGUUAUGAUUGGGGCUUUGGCUUCGUCCAACACCAUUACCCCUUGGUGUUGGAGGUCAAGUAACCAAUAGUCCCCUACAAUUCACUUCUUUGGUUGAGGAUGAUGGUAGUUGUCCUCAAGUGGCUCUUGAGCCUAUAAGCCUCUAAGUGCACUUGAGCGCCUUCACCUGUGCAAUAUUAAAAAGGACUACCUAUUCACCCCUAAUCAGUUUCAUAACAAGAUUCUAAAAUUUCAUGCACCAAAAGCUAACCUAUGAUCGUACAUAUUUUUACAUGUUAUUUUAAUUUUUCAUUGGCACAUACUUGAUAUAAUCAUAUAAUAAUAUUUAGUGUACCAAAAAAUUUUCUUUAGUUGGCUUUGUCCCUUUAUUAAUGUAUGAUUCUAUGAUUCUAUUUCUGCACAAGGCAGUUGCUGUGAAUAAAACAUGUUACGAAUGAAUUUUCAUGCUUUUUCUUAUCAUUCAUAGUACAUAAAUUCAGAUCCAUCAUAGUUUUAUUGUGCAUUUUAAUUCAGGCAUGAGUCCGUGGUUAUAAAGGAAGUCAUUAAAGAAAUUUGGGAUGAAAUGGCGUCUAAGCCCUUUAUUAUGGAUUGCCCGAGUACAAAUGAAUUCAUAUUGAAGGACUUGGUUAAGUUUAUGAACAUUCAAUCAGAAGAUGUUCACAUGAUUGGGAUUUAUGGAGAGGAUGGACUUGGCAAAACAGCGAUUGCCCAAGCUAUUUGUAAUGAAAUCUCUUCUCAAUUUGAGGGAUGCAGUUUCCUUGCAAAUAUUAGAAAGGUUUCCAAAGAAUAUUUUGGUCUACAACGUUUACAAGAACAACUUUUUCGUGAUAUUCUAGUGCUAAGAGGAAAUCGAGAAAUAAUCUUUCACAGAAGGAAUGAUGUGAUAAAGCAGAUCUGUUGUAGAAAGGUUCUCAUUAUUCUUGAUGAUGUGGAUGAAUUGGAACAACUGCAAUUCUUAGCGCGAGAAAGCAAUUGGUUUGGCAAGGGAAGUAUGAUCAUUAUAACUUGUACAGACAAAGAGAUAUUAACAAGACACAGCGUGAAAUUAUCAUAUGAGCUUACGAAGUUAAAAAAUCCUGAAGAUGUUCGCCUCUUUACUCAGCAUGCCAUCAGUAAAGGACGAUCCCUCUGUAACAUUCAUAAACUUCUAGAGCGUGCAAUCGAUUAUUGUUGUGGCCUUCCUUUGGCCCUUAAAGUUGUGGGUACUUUUCUUAAAACGAAGACACGAGAACAAUGGGAAAAGGCAUUGGUUUGUUUGGAAAGACAUCAAGGAGAAUUUAACAAGAAAAAUCUAGAGGAUGUGCUUCGCUUGAGUUUUGAAGAACUAAGGGACAACGAGAAGGAUGUAUUCUUUGAUGUUGCAUGCUUCUUCAAUGGAGAGCACAUAAAUUUUGUUACAAAAAUAUUGGAUGGGCGUGGCUUCUCUGCAAAAGAUGGAAUACAAGUUCUCCGUGAUAGAUGUCUCCUAACUAUUUCAGAUCAGAAGUUAUGGAUGCAUAAUUCCAUACAAGAUGUGGGUCGGGAAAUGGUUCGCCAAGAAAAUAAGAAAGAAGGUAAAAGAAGCCGAUUAUGGGAUCAUGAUAAUGUUGAAUACGUCUUGACACAUAAUAAGGUAAUAUAUAUACCCUUCUAUAUAUGCUAUUCCAUAUAUAUAUAUAAAUAUAUAUAUAUAGAGAGAGAGGGAGAGAUAAUGCACCAACUUAUCCUUUGCUUUUGCUUGUCAGGGGACUGAUGCAAUUGAAGGCAUAGUUCUAGACUUGUCUGAAUUAAACCAACUACAGUUUACAACUGAAGCCUUUGCAAAAAUGACUGAACUUAGAGUGCUAAAAUUCUUCAUGGGAUGUAAAAAUGUGUGUGAAGAGAGUUGUAAAGUGCUCUUUUCUGGAGAUUUGGAACUUCCUGUUUCUGAUUUAAGAUAUCUCCAUUGGCAUGGAUACCCUUCAGAUUCAUUUCCAUCAAAUUUUCUAAAGGCAGAUGCGCUUCUUGAGCUCCAUAUGCGUUAUAGCUGCCUAAAACAUCUUAAAGAGGACGAGGUACGACCAUUUUUUAUCUGUAUAUUUGCAAUAAGAAGUGUUAAUGCAAGGCUAAUUUAUUCAAGAAAAUUUCCUUGUUCACAGGGAUGUUUUCCAAAGUUAACUGUCCUGGAUCUCAGUCACUCUCGAAAUUUAGUAAAAAUCUCAAACUUCUCAACCAUGCCAAAGUUGGAGAAACUAAUUCUUGAGGGUUGUACAAGUUUGCUCGAGAUUGACUCAUCUAUUGGAGAUCUGAAUAAACUUAUUUUCUUGAAUUUGAAUGGCUGCAAAAACCUUGAUAGUCUUCCCAGCAGCUUUUGCAAAUUGAAAUUUCUUGAAACCCUUAUUGUAUCUGGUUGUUUCAGACCAGAGGAAGUGCCGGUUGACUUGGCGGGACUGCAAAUCUCAGGGAACCUGCCCGAAAAUAGAACUGCUACGGGUGGAAGUACAAGUCAAGUUUCUUUGUUUGGUUUAUGCUCAUUAAGGGAAUUAGAUCUAAGUGAUUGCCAUCUAAGUGAUGGAGUGAUCCCCAGCGACUUUUGGCGAUUAUCCUCCUUGGAAAGAUUAAAUCUAAGCGGAAACGAUUUCACUGUAAUUCCAGAAGGCAUCGCUCAACUUUCGAAGUUAAGUUUCCUUCAGCUAGGAUAUUGCCAGAGGCUUCUAGGAAUCCCAAAUCUUCCCUCGACCGUCCAAGAAGUGGAUGCACAUGUCUGCAGUUCCCUGAGACCUUCAUCCAACUUCAGAGAUGCAACAACCAUAUUAUGGAGAAUUCAGGUCUCCUCUCUCUCUCUCUCCCUUUCUAACUGUCUAUCUAUCUAUCUAUCUAUCUAUCUAUCUAUCUAUCUAUCUAUCUCUUUCUCUCUCUCCCUCUCUCCCUCUCUCAUGUUAAACCUUAAACUUCAUGGCAGAACCUUGCACCAAAUAACGAAUUCUGUAUUCUUCUUCCUGGAAGUGGAAUUCCGGAUUGGUUCGGCGAUAGGAAAAUGGGAUGUUCAGUGGCAAUAGAGAAGCUGCCUCCGGAAUGGCAUCAAGUUAACUUCCUGGGCUUUGCUGUAUGCUUUGUAUUUGCGUCAGAGCAUGAAAUACCUGAGCACACUCCUGUAGUAUCAUGUAAAAUAAAUGAUUUCAGAUUUUCCUACGCUUUCUCAUGUGGCCGUGGAGAAAAUGAAUUUGUUGAGUCAGAUCACCUGUGGCUGGCAUACCAACCACGCGCUCGAGUUGAAAAUUUUCACCCUUACGAUUGGACUCAAAUUAAGGCUUCAUUUGAAGUCUUUGGCAUCGGUACACGCAAUAAGGUAAAGGAGUGUGCCAUUAGUCUUAUAUACGCUGAUAGGUAGAGAUUACAACAGAACGGAGAUGGUGGCAUCAUCCAGGUUUUCGUCCAACUUUCAACAGCUCUUUUCUGUAGUUUGAUUUUGAAUUUUUCUCCAAAGAAAGGCUUUGUGAUUCAUAUGUGUGAACUUAUUGGCAGAGUUACAGGAAAUUGAUUUCCAAUGGAAGCUUCAUUAUCACUUGCUGGUGCAGUUACAUGAAGGCAAAAAUAAAUCCACAUAUGACUAUCUAGUUGUAGUUUUACUUGAUGAGUUGUGUUAUGUGCAAAGGAAAAUCGGCAAAACUCUCAAGAAAAAGAAGAAGAAAAAGAGUCAAUUUCAAUCGGAUCAUCCAAAGUUUGGUAUAAAUACAUCUAACCAUCGUUAAUUUCAAAUUUUGUUAUUUAGUACCCUCAUAAAUUAAUUUCGUUUAUUUGAUGAAUUGUGUUGUGUGCAAAGGAAAAUCUGCAAAACUCUUGCGACAAAGAAGAAAAAGAGUUCAUUUCACUCUAAUCAUCCAAAGUUUGGUAUAUUUACACCUAAUUAACUACCAUUGAUUUCAAAUUUUGUUAGUUAGUACCCUCAUAAAUCUAUAUGUUAAUUUACUUGAUGAGUUGUGUAAUGUGCAAAGGAAAAUCAACAAAACUCUCGGAUUAAAGAAGAAAAAUAUUUAAUUUCACUUAGAUCCUCUUAAGUUUGGUGUAGAUACAUCUAACCACCAUUGAUUUCAAAUUUUAUUAGUUAGUACUUCUAUAAAUUUAUUUCAUAUAUUUUUUAAGAGAGAUUUUAAAUAGAUGUGUUUAAUAUUUUUCUAAAAGAUAAAUUUCAUUUUCUAAAAAUAAAAUAUGUAUAUUAAAUAUAUUUUUAGGAUGCUAAUUAACCAAAUUUGAAACCAACGAUAAUUUAGCCUAUUACACUAAACAUGAGGGGUUAAUGAAAUUAACCCUAAGAAAUUUUCAUAAUAAGAAGUGAUUGAUUAUGCAAAUGGCAUCCAAUGGAAAUUUGAUUGAAUUAAUAUCAAUUAUUACUAACCUAGGGUUAGAGAAUCUUUGACCGUGUUUGGUUUCAAAAAAUACUAAGAAAAGAAAAAAGUGAUAAGAAAAAUUGUUUUCUUGUGUUUGCUUUCACCAUGGAAAAUACAAAAAAAAUCAAAUAUAAUUAAAAUUUGUUAAAAAGUUAUAUAUUUUAAAAUUGUUUAAUUUUUUUAUAUAAUAGAACUAAAUAAGUAAAAUGAGUUUCAAGAAACAUAUAAAAAUAUUUUUGUGGACCCAUAUUUUUCACAUGUACCCUCACUCAAUCCGAGAGACUCGCUUUUAUUGGUUAAAAAUUAAUUUUGGAAAAGUUAGAGUCGCCACUUAUUUUAUGUUAUUUUAAAAGGGAAAAUAAAACAAGAAAGAAAAACCUAAAGAAGUGACUCCAUAGUUUUUGGAAAAGCGUGUAUUUGAAAAACCCGAGUCUAGGUCCGGGAUUAGAUUAUCUAUUAGGAAGAUACCUUUAAGAGGUAACACUCCUCUAAGCCAUAAAGAGAUCUCUAUUGACUAAGUUGAGGGGAAUGUGAUAAUUAAUUAAUUGAUUGAAAAUACCUAGAUAGACUGAGGUAAUUUCAAAAUUAACAUACCAAGCCAAAAAGUCAAAUCAUGAUCAUAAAAGAGAGUUAACGUGUGUAUCUGAACCGCUUUUCAAGUGUUAUCAUAAAACAUCAAAGUUAGUAUAAAAAUAUAGUAUAGAACAUGUGUUUUAUCCAAGCAAAUCAAGCAUACAUCUAGGCAUCCAAGAAUGAUAUCAAGUGAGGAUAUAGUUCUUAAUGACAUAUAUAUUCAUGGAACUUUAAAAUGGGAAGAUAGAGAGCGUACCUAUGUAGCAAGCGUAAGUGAUUACAUAAAAAUGAGGUUAAUUCACCAAUAACAACGAUAAUAUUAAAGAAUAAUAAAUAAAAAUAACUAAACCUAUAUAUAUAUAUAUAUAUAUAUAUAUAUAUAUAUAUAUAUAUAUAUAUAUAUACACACACUUAGAAGGUCUCAAGUCAAGGAAAGUUCACAAGUAUGAUCAAAAGUGACUAAAUUACCAAAAACCAAGGAAAUAUUAUUAAAAGGGUAGAAUAUCAAUUCACAAAAUAAACUCCAAAUAAAUAUCAAGAAAGAUUAUCUCACCAAAAUAAAAAUUAGGUAACAUCUUUAACAUUUCUAGAUAAACAUCCAAUAGGCCAAAUUAAUCGAUUAUAUUCCAAUCAACAACAAAUUUAUUCACAAAAGGGUUACUUCACAAAAAAAGUCAGCAAACAAUUAGAAUAGAAGACUGUAUAAAAUAAAUUUAAAACAAAUACCUAGAAGUUAAGUUUUAUCAAGAAAAUUUUUAGAGAAUACCUCCUAUAUGUCUAGUUUAUCAUAUAAGUGACCAAAUUAAUUAGCCAGCCCUCGUUUAGUACCAGAUUUCAUGAUGAUGAUAAUAGGUCCAGAACAGAGCAUUUUUUAAAGGUAUUCAAUGAUUGAUUUUUAAAAAUAACUUAUAGAUGUCUUAAAAUCAUACAAAAAUUCAUACAACUAUCUUAAUGUAUUUAUUUUAUAUUAAAAAUAAUCUCAGGAGAUAACACUUUCAUAACAUAUUAUAAAAUAAAUAAACAUAUCUCAGCUCUAGAAGAGCACUCAUGCAAUGGGUGCAAGAAUAAAAAAUUAUAUCUUUUAUUUCUUAAAUUAUUUAAUAAUAUUUUAUACAUAAAAAAUUAAACUUAAGAAGUCUAGUUUAAAAGAAAAAUGUUCAAAUAAAUUAAAGAGAUCAUUUAUUAAUCUAAUUUUGUAAAACAAAACUGAGUGUCAAAAAUAGAUUGAAAACUGAUGCGGAUGCACCUUUUCUCUUUCUAUGGUGCAGCUGCACCUUCCUUCCUCUGAUGGAUGCAUGCUCCCCUAGAUGCAGUCGUGCUUCCCCAAAGCUUUUUCUGGUGCGGCCGAAUUCGAACCCCCCUUCAUGUGCUAAAAAUUUUCCUCUCCAAAACUCCUCCUUCGCUUCAAUGGUGCGACUGCCUCUCUGCCCUCUCUCAAUCGAUCUUUAUCACUUCUCAAUCAAUCUCCCUCACGCUCAAUGGCGCGACUGUCAAUCCUCACACUCCAGAAUGGUCUGCAAAUCGUCUCCCUCUGCUAGGAAAAAAGAAAAACCAAAAACUCCUUUCAAUACCAUACACGCUCGUCCUUUCUUUCUCCAUCUCCUGAACACAGCCCCACUUUCUGUCCACAUACAUGCUGCAUCCUUCCAUUUUCACUUGCCAAAACCAACUUUGUAAUCUUCCCUUCGGAAAGAAUGACGCUAUGCUCACUGGACUGAUUCUCC